CACCUGUGAUGAAAAUCACAGUGUAGCGCCAUGCUGGGUUAUAAAACAACUAAAUGUUAAGUCUAUGUAUGUGCUAGCUUUAAAAGGUCAACAGAGCGUGUUCAAAGUUUACCAGUGGUUAUGUCAGCGAUGUUAGGACUUACUAUGACAAAAUACACUAGCUGUUAACAUUUUAACGUGUUUUGUCACAAAUACUACUGUGAAACUGAGUUGUUGUACAAGCGCUGGUACAUGUGUUUGAAGCUCUACUGCUACUGAUAAGCACUCGCGCUUCAGCGGAAGGACAAUCAACGAUGCUAGCGAUUAGCAUUCGUGAUUAGCUUAAGGGGCACACAGGAUACGCCGCACCAGCUGCUUCGGCUCGUUGCUGUGAUACGUCAAUGUCGCCGCCAUAUUGGAAAGAGCAAAGACGGCCCGUGUACAGGAUUCAUGUUAGCUUUACAUAUCAGGACUAAUACUCCUGCCACUGCACACAGUCUGAUGACAACAAUGGAUGGCUGACCUACAGAAGAUGCCGGCUUUGUGAUGAAUCAGCAGGCACAUCCUGGACAAAGGCAAAUGGCAAAGCAAGUCACACAGGCGGCGCUUCACUGUCAGAUGACUUUGUAGCCUAUUUGUGGGUGGCAACAUAUGGUGCUUGUGCUGAGAGACUGCAGCUGCACUGACAUGGCACCAAGCACUUGUCUCCUCACAGUGUUGACAUGGGGGGACAGAUGCUGAAGUAUUUCUGACCCUGCAAAUCCUUCUAGCUAGACAUGCAUGAUACAAGGCAUUUUAAAACAAUCUUUGCACCCUACAGCACCGGGAGAAAAUAGCAGUUGAUGCUUUAAUUUAA